UGCUAUAAAGAGUACCCACAAGAAAAAGGAAAAAUGAGUUCUUCAAUAGUUUCAUACCUUUUCUUUCACCUUUCUAUGUAACAAAGAAGAAAGCAAAAGGGGUUAAUCGUAUAAAAAAAAGAGGUGGGUUUUAUGAGCUGAUGCUGAAAUUGGGUUUCUCCAAUAGCAUGGAUCUUGGCAAAUCUUGGAAUAGUAGUAGUAGUAGUAGUGUUGUCAGCUCUUCCCAUAGUUUUAAUUUCAGUUACUUCCAUUCAUUAACGUCAGCUCUCUUGUUUUUGUCUUUUGGGAGUUCAGUUUCAGUACCCAAAAUGGCCUUAUUUAAUUUCUCAACCAUUAUACCUUCUUUUGAUGAUGAUUUGAUUGUAAAGUUUUCAUCUUUUUCAUUUUCUUGAAGAAGAAAGACUCCAAUUUAAUCAACAUCACUCUCUCCUCAACUGUUUCUUUUGUUUGUUUGCUUAGUUUUCGUGAUUGUUUAGUCUUGUAUCGUCAGCCCCCUUUUGUUUUUGUUCUCUUUUUAAAGACCUAGAGAAUGCUGUGUGCAUCAUUGCCAGGGUUGAGUCAUCAACAGAUGUUGGUUGGUGGUGCUGUCAAGGAACUUUCAGCAGCUAUGGCUUCUUUGAAUGUUUAUAGCAGGUGUGGUUUUGAUGGUCGUGUUGGAUGUUGGAUUGGGAAUGAGAAAGGAAGAUGGAACAAAUUGGCUGCUGCAAGUACAAUGGCACCAAAGAAGAGGAGGUUGAGCAUUUCCCCUCUGGCUUCCUCUGCUCUAGCAGAAACCCCAUAUACAUCUAGAGCCGAAUUCUAUCACGAGGUUCUUAACGAUGCUAGAGAAAAAUUUACCCAGGAGAUAUCUUUCCAAUCCAAGGACAAAGAUAUUUCUUUGGCAAAGGCUUUGCUUUACGUGGCCUCUGAAGACGAGGCAUUUAUGGCUUUCAACCGGGAGAUGGAUGCUCAUUCACUCCAAAUUGAGAGGAGUUCAGCUUCAUUGGCUUCUCAUGCCACAGAUUGGACUUGCGUGGAGGCCAUGCCUCUUGCUGGAAAAAAUAUGAAUGAAUGGAUGGUUGAGUUGGAUGUUAUUGCGAGAGAAGUGGAGGCGGAGCUAGUUUCAAGAGAAAUAGGAUGCGAUUUGGUUGAAGUUUUAGAUGCCGUGAAUAUGGUGCUUUUCAAGUCAAGGGGUUUCAAAAGGUCACCUGUACUUGUGGAUUCAAAGUGUGCAUACCUGCAUUCAGUAUUAAGCUCUGGAUAUUGUAGUGCAAUUUUGCUUAGUGUCAUUUAUAUUGAAGUCUGUCGAAGACUUAAUCUGACCAUUGUGGGAUCCCGAGUUGGGGAAGAUUUUUUGAUAUGGCCUCAAACUGGAAACCCUGAGGAGCUAUUCAAGGUUAUCUCUGGUUAUAGCUUGUUUGGUAUUGUUAAUGGGAAGUGUGUCGAUGACCCUAGAGCAAAGGCUUCUGACAUCAAUAGCAAUUCUUUGCCGGGGCUUGAGUUAGCAACAAACCGAGAUAUUAUUGGAAUUGCUUUGGCUAAUUUGAUGAGGCUUCACUGGAAACGUGCUUCAAGAGCAAAUCAUGGUUUGAUGCUGACUUCUCCGCUUAGAUCUGUUGAUCAUGCAGAUGAUAAGUCUAGCAAGACUAAUUGUCUGAAUGUCCCAUUGUUGCGGCCUCAAGAUUUGAGGUUCAAGAUGCUAAAUUGCAACCUUUGGCAUGAGAAAAGGAGAAUUGAGAAUAUUGGACGCAUAUUGUUAUUUUAUUGAUUCUGACAUACUACUAAAACUCUUAACAUUCCACUAAAAUAACCACUUAAUCAAUCUUGCUGCGAUAUAAUAGAUGCUUAUACCUCCAUUUAAGUUUAUAACAUAACGAACUAUAGGGUAAAAGAUUCCUCACUGAUCUAGCUUCAUAUUGGUAUUAAAAGCCCUUUCUAUUUCAAUAUACUGAUCAAAUUGAAAAUGACUAGAUACUGCAUUAUGCAGAUAGAUUGACUUUCUUUUUACAUACUUUUAGCCUCUUCGCCCUCUUACUCCUUUAAUGUUGUUUCUCUUCACCUCUCCGACAUUCCUUUUAGAAAUCCAAGAAAGCUAACCUUAUCUUUCUCCCUUUCUGAUCUUUAGGAUUUGAUGCUCUUUUUAGAUACUGUAGAUACAAAAUAUACCAUGUUUGGAUGCAUUUAUUAUAUUUGAUAGUUGAGGCCAACUAUUCGGGGUUUUUUGUUCCACCAAAUCUAUUAGUUUUUCUUACAAAAUCAAGUCAAUUCUCCUAACCAAAUGUUGUUAAACAGGCAAAUAUGCUUGCCUGAUGAUCAACCAUUAAUUACUUAGAAAAGGAAGUGGUAUGCUGGGGGUGGGGGUGGGGUGUUACAGAAGUAACAAUGAUACCUCAUCCACUGUCACAUAGAAAUGCAUGAUGGUCUUUUUGCAUCUACAUUCUCUUUUAGGGGACCAUCUGUUUCUGUUUAGAGAUAUCCAUUCAGCACUCUUUCCUGCUUUUUUUCCGUUGUGCAUAAUAUUGAGGUGGUAAUAAUUGGUACCUGUUAUUUCUUCGUUGUAUAUCAAGUAACAAUGAAGUAGGAAUUGAAUCAUUUGCCAAAUUGCAGUACACACAUGGGACAUAUAGAGUUUUUAAGCUAUCAAAUAGGGCCAUAACACUACUUGGCAUUUAAUGAUUGUCUUUUAAGCAUUAUGUUUUAUCUAACGUGCAGAACCAUGCUAGUCUCGAGUAAGGAUGGAUCAUUUUCCAUCUUACUAUUCUCGAUGAUAAGCAAAACGAUCCAAGAUUUGUGUAUUUUCUUAACUAAUUGCAGGUGUUGUGCUUAAAUUAAGGUUUUUCUGGUUAUCACUCAGAGAUUUCUGACCUUUGCAUUAGGUCAUUAACUUGUAUCUGUAUGUAAUAUCUGUUCACUUAUAAUGACAUUAUGUCUCUCUCUGGAAUGACACAAUACUUUCUAGGCUGGCCAUUAUGGCUUCAGAAAGAUUGCUCAUUCUGCAGCCACACAAUUGGGCUCUGAGGAGAGACCAUGGAAUGAUGUUGUACUAUAGUAGGGAAUAUGAAGAGGCAGUUCAGGAGCUUAGCAUUUGCAUGGCCUUUGCCCCAGAAGAAGAAGCAGAAGUUUUGGAACCAUUUGUUGAGAAGCUACACUUGUUGCGAGUCGAAUCGUCUUGGAAGUCUCAGGGAAAGAAAGGCCAUUUAACAGUUUCUUGAACUGUUUCUGGUUUGUAGAGCCAUUGAGCUUGUAUUAAGAGCACAACCAGUAGAACUUUAGCUGCAAUAUCUUUUUUUUGGGCCUUGUGUACAUAUUUUCCUUCAACCAGAGGCUAAAUUUGCAUCCUUUCUAUAAUGAGAUGAAUAACAUAAGUACUUAAUGGAAAAA